rnacentral:rRNA from 1 species
AGCUCCAGUAGCGUAUAUUAAUGUUGCUGCAGUUAAAAGCUCGUAGUUGGAUUUCUGAUGUGAUUAUUUUGGUCCCUGGUUAACGCCUUGAGUACUGUAAAUCAUCCAUCAUCCUUCUAGUUAGGCUCUCAAUGUUCUUACGGACUUGAGAUGUUUCCGACCUAGAUCUUUUACUUUGAAAAAUUAGAGUGUUCAAAGCAGGCUUACGCUUAUGAAUAUAUUAGCAUGGAAUAAUAAUAUAGGACUUUGGUCUCUAUUUUGUUGGUUUCUAGAGCUGAAGUAAUGAUUGAUAGGGAUAGUUGGGGGUGCUAGUAUUUAAUGGCCAGAGGUGAAAUUCUUGGAUUCAUUAAAGACUAACUUAUGCGAAAGCAUUCACCAAGGAUGUCUUCU